AGGCUUUCAAGCAGACGCUUCCCGGUUCCCAGAUCAACAGCAGGAUAACAAUAUUGCAGCUGAACAGACCUGGCUCAAUACAAUGGAGAAGCUGAUGGGAGGACUCCAGCCGGAGUGAGGGAGACCGCCCCUCUAGUGCACACCAUAGCUCAUUUGCAUGGCUUCCUGGAGUCCACAGCAGCAGUGCUCAACAACAGACAUCCAGAGUAACUUCUGCAGCAACCAGCGGGUCUUAAGGAAUUACCAGAUCUGGUUCUUGGCUUUGCUCCUUGACUCAGUUGACCUCCUACCCCUCACAGCAGGGUAAAGACUUGCACAUCACUGACAGGCGGCUCGGAGUCAGCCUUGGAGUCGGCCUUCCAUGCCCAGCCCUGAGGCCACCAUGCCACGUUCCAGUUGGCUCAAGCAGUGAGAGGCAAAACCAGCUCCAGGGCCAGGUGGAAGGGCUGCUUCUCUCCUGCCUCCAUCAAAUGCUGACCUUGCCUCUGAAUGACCAAGCAAAACAAAGGAAUAAAUGAAUGAAUAAAAAUUUUGACCUGUUAAUUCCUUAAGACCUUGAUACGUAUUCGUGGGUAAGCAAUUUUAUACUAUUUUAUAAAACUGUUUUCAGCUGUUUGUAGUCAGGGUCGGGUGCCAGGCACCUAGACACCCCCCUCCCCAUUCCCAGGAAGGUUUUGGCCAAACCUGCAUCCACCACCUUGGCAUGCCAAUGCAUUCGAGGCCCGGCAGGCCCUGACUCAACAGAACCGUCUCGCCCUCCACAGCCACCACAGCCACGUGGGCCAAUACCCAGCGCGUGCCCCACUGCCCCAAGCCUCUCUGCCGGCGUGGCUCUCCCCCAACCUCACUCUCAAUACAAAAGGGACAGCACCGAAAGAACAAGGGAGGCCGGAAUGGUGGCAUUAUUCAAUUAAAUAUACAGAGUGCUUCCUUUAAUAUGUACACAUUUACAAAAAUGCACUUUCACGAGGAGGGGCGGCCGGGGCCGGCAGGUGGGCAGCGCCUGGUGCCACGGCACGCAUGGACAGUUGCGAGGGGUCUGUGUGAAGGCACUUGUCACGAGCUUCAAUACUGCCGCCGUCCCAGGAUGGGAGAACUGCGCAGCAGGAAGGGCACUUCUGAAAGCACAGUGGAGAGAUCGCUGGAGCGGGCGUUCUGGGCAGGAGGAAGCACAGACGGCAGGCAGGGUGGACUGGCCAGCAAGCGCGAGGUUGACCUGCCGGCCUUGGGCCACGCCGAUGACCUCAGGCCCCACUAACAACCACAGGUGCGCCAACAGCCACGGGCCAUGCCGGCAGCCAGGGCCACAUCAAUAACCAGGGUCCCACCGACCACCGUAGGUCCCACCGACAGCCACAGGUCCCAUUGACAGCCACGAGUCCCACCGACAGCCACAGGCCACACCAUCAGCCACGGGUCCCACCAACAGCCAUGGGCCACACCAACACAGCCAUGGGUCUCACUGGCACUUUGGCCUGGAGCCACAGAGAAACCCGAGUGAGGAAUAAAAGGAAGAUUCUGUAAACAGUGCACAACCUCUGGUAACAAACGCUAUGAUUUGGUGACGACGCAGACACCCUUUGCUCUCUCCUGCCAUACAGCGAGUGCCACGCACGGAAACUUUACAAAAAUAGCAACUAUCCGAGAAUACUCCAUUGUUUUCAGCCUGACAGUUACUGAAUAAUUUAUACAAGGUUAAAGAAACGUAGAAAAUAAACAUUUGUUUUUUGUU